UUGCCAUUAAAAUUUCCCCCCCCCCCUCUCUCUCUAAUCCUAUUUUCUCUCUAUUCUCUCUCAAAACUCCCAUAUUUUCUCCCAAAUCGGAGUACCUCAUUGCCCUAGAGUUCCCCCCUUUCUUCUUCUUGGUCGCUGUCAUCGUCGUUGUCUUCUUGCCGGAAAAUACAAACAGAUGGGCAUUAUGUCGACCGUGUCACUUAUAGGGGUACAAGAAGGCUGACAAAAAUAAGGGAAUAGUUUCAGAAGCAUGGAUUGUUGGCUACAGCGAAUGAGUCUCCAUUUGAAAUAAUUUUUCACCGCUCCUAUAGUCGAAUUCUUGGGGGUGAUGGUGCACAUUAUCCUUCUAUGUGGGAUCAAUUCUUCACAUGAAGAUGAGUUGCAUUUUCUAAUUGGAAAUGAUCAUUGUAAGUUCUGGGUGCAUAAUUUCUCCCUUAUUACUGGGCUUACCUGUAGACGUCCGUCGUUGUCAUCUUAGUUACAUCCUAUCUAAUGUCCAUCUAUCUCCUGGACACAUUUUAGUGUGGGAUUGGAUGAAAAAAAAUUGGGUUAUUGGAUCGAGUGUUUGCCAUAUGCGACCAGGUUGAUGAUAUAUGGAAGCUUGGUUUAGUAUAUUUUGUGGAGGGGGCACUCUUGUCUAGUGAGAAAGGUGGGUAUAUUUGGCAAGAAUUACUGUACAUGGUUGAUGAUUUUGAUUACUUUUACAUGUACCCGUGGGGGUCUAUAUGUUUCAAUUUGACCUUGCAACAACUGAAGAGGGAUGUGGUUGCUAUUGGUAAUCGUUUAUCCGAGAAGAAGGUGAAAGCUAAGGAUCAAGACAAGCGUCCAUAGAUCGAAUCCAAGUACACAUGCAGGGGCUAUCCACUAUCCAUAGAGUACUGGGCUUAUGAGGUUGUGAUCAAUUUAGCCAAUGUGUAUGCCAAGCCUACCUUAGGACUGAAGUUCCCAAGAAUGCUACAAUGGGAGAUCAUAAGGCAACCAAAACACCUAGACAUGAAACUAUUACUUAAUAGGAAGCUGAUGACAGUGAUUCCCUUCUUGAUGCCUUAAUCUGCCAAGAAAGACUUCUUUGGAAAUGUAUACUUGAGGAUAGAAGAAGACGGUCCUCGGUAAGUGAUGUUGACUGAUAUGAUUCAGCUUAAGGGUGAAGAAGGAGUAGGCAUGGAUCCUGUUGCGGAAGUUGCUAAGUAGGUAGAUAUCGCCAAUACGACUGGUAUUUUUGAAGAGUCUGAUGAGGCUGAGCCAACUAGGCCAUCUAGUGUUCUACAACUUACCCCAAUUAAUGUAUCAGGCAUUAAUGAUAUUGUGGCUGGGGUGGCCUCAGUCAAGACUAAUGUUAAAGCGACCCACGAUUCACCACAGGGUAUUGCGGCUAAAGUGGCCUCAAUGAAGGUUGUAUUUACUGAUGUGAAAGUGACACAAGAUGCCAUGUUUCAAACUCAUAAUACAAUCUUACAAAAGUUUGAUGCCCUCAACCAGCGAGGUCUCAUAGAUCAUACUCCUGAUGAUGCACUGUGUGAUGUCCUUUCUGCCUGUUAUGAGCCUGAUUCAGCCACACCUGCACCAGCAGCCCAGACGGUCCUAGGACAAGGCAGAGACCAAUGAGCUACGAGGACUUUCACUAACAAGGAAGUGUCAGAAAUUCAAGGAUCCAAUCCAAAUCCUUUCACUAAAGGAGUUAGACGAAGUGCAACUGACAACAUUCUGUCAGUGGAUGCUCGGUGAGAUUGACAAUAGUAGCCCUAGGUGCUUGGAGGGAUGUCAUGGGAUGUCCGUUUGGUUUAUGUAGUUAAAAGUGAAACGAUUUUGGGUUGUUGACAUUGUAAGUAUGAGUGCAACAAGUCUUCUACUUAAAGGUUUCUUAUAGUAAUUGACAUCAUUUUUAUCUUACAACACUUGGACGUCGCAAAUCAUUUGAUGUGGAGACGCUUGUUCGAGUUGCCCAAGACGUAUCCUAUCGACACUACCAUUAUGGACUCUAUAUUUGGCCAGACCAUGCUUGCCAGAUAUGAUGAUUGGCAUAAGAGUCUUAAUACAUACAAGUGGGAUGAUGUUCAUGAUUUGAUGAAGGGAGACAAAAAUAAAUUCAAGAAGUCAUGGGGUGAGUGUGAUGAAGUAUACUUCCAUCUAUCUAUCAAUAACAAUUGGAUUCUACGUGAAGCUAGUUUGAAAGAGUGGAUCAUAUCCAUCUAUGACUCGCACCACUCGAACAUUAGUCAAAAUGUGUUGGCACGUAACAUUAAUCAGUGGUGGAUGUUUGACAAAAAUCCCCACUUGAAACUACAGUAACUGAAGCAUACCGUUGCAUAAUUUGACUGGAGGUGUAUCUCCAAUGACGUAGUACCACAAUCUAAAUCGAUGUAUAGAAAAAAUAUUGUAUUUCUCUUUAUUAUCCUCAAUAGUUGUUUGAUUCUAUGGAUGCCAAAAUUUGGCCACUUCAAAAUACUUGACAAAAGUGGCAAGGACCAAGGCGCUUAGCACCCAUAAAGGUCUGUAGUAUCAUUAGGACUUCCUCUUUAAGGGUCCUCAAGCCAUAAGUGUAACGCUCUGGAUAACCAAAAUCGUUACACUGUGUGUUUGAAAUAAUGCGAGACUUGCUAAUCAAGUCAUUUAAAUAAAAAUGUGAAUCUAAUGACACGAACAGGUUAGGUUUAAAAGAUUUUGGUUAUAAACGAAUAAUUUUCAUUGAAAUGAAUGUUUGGUACAUGGGAUCCCAAAUAAGAGUUUAAAUAACGUAAUUACAGAAUUUCCAAAUCUUAUAAAUAAUCAAGCCACUCUAAUGGCAAAAUACACGUUUUAGGUUUCCGUCCCUGUACAAACCCUCGAUCGUGGCGGUCGGGCAGCUGACAAUGUACACCUCGCCCCCAGAGCUCUCCAACCCAUGGUUGAACCGUCUUACCCUAGCCUUUACCUGCACCACGUAGCACCCGUGAGCCAAGGCCCAGCAUGAAAACAUAACAUUGUAGUACAAUCAAUAUCAACAACUAUGUAGUUCACAGAGCAUAACCAAAUGAUUUACAAGGCAUUAAUCAAUUACCCAGCAAGCCAUAGCAUUCAUUCAAUCCAGGACAUCAGUUAAUAACCAAUGAUCUAGUUCCAGAUAUUCAACAUAUCAUACACAACAAUUAAUAAAAGUAUUGUAGAGUCCAAGAACUUUACUUAGCUAGUUAGAUAGUAGUAUAAUAGUAAUAGUAGUAGUAUUUUUAUGACUGUGGAUUUUGGUUCAGACCGGGAUUUAAUUGGAGACUCAUAGUAGCACUUGUAGAUUUUCUAAGUUUAACCUAUAGUUUAAGAAUAUUAAUUUUAACCUAAGGUUUGAUUAAUAUUGCUGGUUAUUAAUAUGAUAAUUAUUGUAACCUAAGGUUUAGAUAUAGCCAAUAGGAUUAUGUCAUUUGACAUAUGCAUGAUUAUUAAGAAAUUAUUAUUUUAAUGAUAAAAUAAGAUAAAUAUAAGACUUAUUCUUCACCAAAAUCUAAUAGGAGCAUGAUAUUUGUCAUAAUUUUAUUUAUUUGUGAAUUAGGAUGUAAAUAGAUUUUUCGUAACUUUAGGAUACUGUAACUUCCGACUUAUUUUUUGACCCAGUUAUAUUAGGAAUUUCGAAAAAUAUUAUUUCUUAAAAGUUGUAGAUAAUUUAAUUAUCUUUCUAACGGUAUAAAGAUAGUCCAAAUCGGAGUUCUACAGCUCCAGAUAUGUUGA